rnacentral:rRNA from 1 species
UGGGGAAUCUUGCGCAAUGGGCGAAAGCCUGACGCAGCAACGCCGCGUGGGGGAUGACGGCCUUCGGGUUGUAAACCUCUUUCGACCGGGACGAAGGAUUCGUUUGACGGUACCGGUAGAAGAAGCACCGGCUAACUACGUGCCAGCAGCCGCGGUAACACGUAGGGUGCGAGCGUUGUCCGGAAUUAUUGGGCGUAAAGAGCUCGUAGGCGGUGUGUCACGUCGGCCGUGAAAACUUGGGCUUAACUCUGGGGUUGCAUACGAAACUGGGUAACUAGAGUGCAGGAGAGGAAAGUGGAAUUCCUAGUGUAGCGGUGAAAUGCGUAGAUAUUAGGAGGAACACCAGUGGCGAAGGCGGCUUUCUGGACUGUAACUGACGCUGAGGUGCGAAAGCCAGGGGAGCGAACG